AGCAGCCGCGGUAAUUCCAGCUCCAAUAGCGUAUAUUAAAGUUGUUGCAGUUAAAAAGCUCGUAGUUGAAUUUCGAGACCGGUUUACUGGUCGUGCUUUUGUACGUACUGGUAUUAUUGGUUUCUCCUUUCUGACGAAUCAUAAAUGCCAUUAAUUUGGUGUUUUGGGGAAUCAGGACUGUUACUUUGAAAAAAUUGAGUGUUUAAAGCAGGCUCACGCUUGAAUACAUUAGCAUGGAAUAACGAAAUAGGACGUUUGAUUUUAUUUGUUGGUUUCUAGGAUCGACGUAAUGAUUAAUAGGGGUAUUGGGGGCAUUAGUAUUCAAUUGUCAGAGGUGAAAUUCUUGGA
rnacentral:rRNA from 1 species